rnacentral:rRNA from 1 species
AUUGAACGCUGGCGGCAGGCCUAACACAUGCAAGUCGAGCGAGCGGCGGACGGGUGAGUAAUGUAUGGGGACUGCCCGAUAGCUGGGGAUAACUACUGGAAACGGUAUCUAAAACCGCAUACUAUCGGAUAACCCAUAUGGGAUUAGCUAGUAGGUGAGGUAAUGGCUCACCUAGGCGACGAUCCCUAGCUGGUCUGAGAGGAUGAUCAGCCACACUGGGACGGAGACACGGCCCAGACUCCUACGGAGGCAGCAGUGGGGAAUAUUGGGCAAUGGGCGCAAGCCUGAUGCAGCCAUGCCGCGUGUAUGAAGAAGGCCCUAGGGUUGUAAAGUACUUUUAGUAGGGAGGCGGUACCGACAGAAGAAGCACCGGCUAACUCCGUGCCAGCAGCCGCGGUAAUUC